UACGUAGGGUGCGAGCGUUGUCCGGAAUUACUGGGCGUAAAGAGCUCGUAGGCGGUUUGUCGCGUCGUCCGUGAAAACUUGGGGCUCAACCCCAAGCUUGCGGGCGAUACGGGCAGACUUGAGUACUGCAGGGGAGACUUGAAUUCCUGGUGUAGCGGUGAAAUGCGCAGAUAUCAGGAGGAACACCGGUGGCGAAGGCGGGUCUCUGGGCAGUAACUGACGCUGAGGAGCGAAAGCGUGGGGAGCGAACAGG
rnacentral:rRNA from 1 species